GCGGAGGGUGUACCUGCCGCCCCGGCUUGGCUCCUGCUGCCUCCCUUUGAUUCGCCGUAUCUGCUCCUUCCUUUUAGACAAGAAACUGAGGAUAGUAGUUGCUGUUUGCACCGUUGAUGCGAUCCUGUUUAGGCGCCAGCGAGGUGCCGGCUCAAUACUGUCGGUGAGGGAGCUGCAAGAGCUGGACAUGGGAAAAGAAGCCCGGGAAGCCUCAGUCUGUGGGAUGCAGUGACCCUUCGCCGAGGGCACCUGUUGUCAUUCUUCCCAAAACUAAUCCAUAUCAGCCAGUUGUCCUCGCUGUCAUUGUUGCAUAAGAACCGAGGAAGGAAACGGUGUGAAAUGUUUAAUUUAACACCUUUAUGGGAGAUAUCGAGUGGGUUUUUCUUCUCAUAGGAACAUAAUUUUUAAAGCGUAGAGGUCUUGUAACGUGGCUGGUUUUAUUUGUUUACCGUGACACUGAACGCAGCACAGCAGCUUUACCAAUAUCUAGACACGAAACUAUUACAUGUCAUUAACGGUCACGUAAAACUAUUAGGGUAUUUGCUCUUGUAAACAGUGUGUACCCUUUGCUGAUCUGUAUCCUAUAACGGAAAUAAUGUUAACGUUAAGAAAUCUGUUCGAGUUAUUUUCAAUCACUAGCAUAGGUUUACACAUAAAAUAUAAACAUUACAAUAUCUUAUUUAUGAAAAUUUCUUUUUUUUUUUUGCAUAAAAUACUUCUGGUCUCAAAAGACAUAAUCUUUGUCUUACACUUCUAGGUACAGAUGACUAUCAAACAGGCUGUGCCUUCAGAUUGUAAUCUACUAAACCUACUGAAUUUCCACAUAUAGUUCAUUUAUAAAGAUAACUCCGAGCUAAUCUCAUAUGCGGAAGUUAAUACAAUGGGAUUGUUAUUUCCAGUUGGACUGCCAGCUACUUCUACGCUGGAAAUACACAAUGAUAAAUUCAAACAUUAAUGAAAGAUUUCUUGCUCCAACUUAUUUUAAUGUGAAAGUAUAAUGACAUGAAGGAACAGGCAAAAAUAAGCAGCACUGCGCAGGUGAGCCAUUACUAACUCUGGAAUAAAAGUUUACAGAGUGUAUUAUUGCUGAUACCUGGAUCUGUCCUUUAGACAGCUGUCCUUAAGGCUGUAAACUAAAGGAUCACUUUCCUUCGGUUUCUUGUGUUAAUUUCACUAUCUGUUUAAUUUAACUGAUGUUUAAAUAAACUGAUGUUUAUAACAUGCUUUAAAAAGUUGGCAGCAAGCUGUGAUAAAAAGCAUCUUCCCUACUUCUGUAACAACUGGUUUGUGCCCUAAAAUAUCCACCAUUACCUUACUGUACCACCGCUGGAAAAAACAAAGGAACAUACUGUCUGGUUCACUUCUUAUUUCCAGAACACAUGUACGAAAACUUGGAAAACUUGUCUCCCUCGUUGUUGCCGCGCUCAGCAGAGCGGCUAGCACGGGGAAGUCGUCAGAGGUCUCUAGCUAACCAAGUAAAUCUUGUAAAUGGUUUUUCAAAGUAAGAAGGAGAAAGUGAAACACAGGAAACAAUUGUACAGAGAGUGGUAUUAGGGAUUACCGUUCUGUGGGAAACGGCCUGACUCUUCGGAAGGAGAUACACAUUUUAAAAGACACUUGAACUCUUAAAGAUUGUGUCACAGGGAAGUUCUUUGCUAGGAAUUUUCCUUUUUUUUCAUACUGUGAAUGCCUUAAAAGUCUGCUGACAUCUGAAAACGACUUGGAAGGAGACUGACAUGACCACAGCACUGUACACUGCCACGAUGUAAACGUGAGAUCCAUAUUUAAUUUUUGCCUCUCCUUCAGCUUGAGCUAGCUGAAAUGGAGGCAGCUAAAUAUAUGUAGUCCUUGGGAUAAGGAAGUCUUGGAAUACUUCAAAAGACGGCUCCUUCAAAUAAACUGAAGGGUGCAGGUUGGAAUCCGCUUACUGUUUUUGGUGUGCAGUUAGCGUUGAAGUGAUGAAAGCAGCAGAAGAGCUAAGAUGGAUCAUUUCUCCUGCUUCCGAGUAUCUUCAUAUUAUAGGUCAGGCCCUCAUCUGCUUAAAAUGAAUGUAUUUCAGUAAGGUCAACAAAAUU